AUAGAACCAGAGAAAAGGAGAAAAAAGAAAUUUGGUUAGAAGGCUACAUGGUCCAAACCCAGGAGGGGUGAUGAGAACAAAAGGUGCUGGGAGGUGCCCGAAGUUGAGUGGGACAGACUCAGCCAGACACAGGCUGCCGGCUGGAAUCACUGCCAGUGGGCUUAUCCAGCUGCGGAUUCUUUUCUGUCAACUGAAAAGGAAAACACUUCAUUGGAAGGUGCUUAGGACUCUUGCAGCUCGUGUCUCAGACAAGAGGCCGGGUCUUUCUGCAGCAAGCCCCCAGCCAUCCCUACCCCAACGCCUGGCAAGAAUUUCCAUGUUACAGGAAGCAGCACAGAGUUACAUAGUGAAACUGGUGGAUCUUUACCAUUGAGCCACCUGGGAAGCCCAGUCCUGCUAACAGGUUGCCUUAGCUCCUUGAUGGCCUCCUCCACAAGCGCCCCUGGACACUUCUUGGGAACUGCAAGGCUCCAGGAGACGUAAGAGAUGGAGAGUUCGAUUUCUGGACUGGGAAGAUGCUCUGGAGGAGAGCACGGCAAUCCACUUCCGUAUUCUUGCCCGGAGAAUCACAUGGACAAAGGAGCCUGGCUAAACCACACGGACCUCUGGCUACUCUAUGAUCAUAUCACCCCACGGCCUUUGCCUCUCCACUCUGCCUGGAACAUUUUUUUCACUGCUCUAUUCAUGGCUGGGUUUGAGACCAAAUUCAGCUACCAACAACUUAGUUAUAUUUGAAUGACCCAUUUCUCAAUCACGUGACUCUCUCUGACUAUUGUCCUGCAAAUGGGGUUUUAAGCACAGACCCCUUGAGAUGGAAGCCUCUGACUGAAAAACCUGAAGAUGGAAAUGAGCCAUGUGCCUACCUGAGGAGGACAUUCUGGGCAGAGAGAAAGGCCACUGCAAAGUGGUUCUGCCUGGUGUGUGGUGAAGUGAAGCAGAGGAAAAGGAAAACUGAAGAAAAGUUCAAGAGCCCAAAUCUGACAAUUCAAGGAGGGGGAAAAAAAAAAAAUCAGUUGCUGGUUAAGGAUAACCUGGAAUAUGGCUAAAAAUUGUGAAGAGGCCAAAACACUCAACUUAAGUCAGCAGCUCUGGGUGAAGCCUGGACUAGGCACAUGUGGACUGUGUGAUCUGGGAGGGGCGAUGGGUCAGACAAGCUGGUGGCAGAAGGGCCUGCCGAACAAAAACAAAAAAUGGGAACUCAUAAUGGGGAGAAAGAGCCUGAGGGCCAGAACUCCAGGACUUCAGGAGCUUGGCACCUAGAAGCCCCCACGGAGGUUAGAGAGCAUUACAUUGUAAUUAAUGAUGGUGGCAGAGGGAUUCAAGGAACUCAUUUCAUGAUCUAAAUAUAAGAAAUGAAGCUUGCUCCAUCUGACUGGAUGGUGACUAUCAGACAUGCCAUCUCUCAUCUCUAAGGAGGAUGAGAAAAAAAAAAAAUAAGGAGGAUAAAAUGGCAAAGAUGGGAUAACCAAGUGGAGCUGGACCAUUUUCAAGGUGUAGCUUCAGCAAGGCUUCAUGACAGAUGACUUUAAGGAACAAGUACCACACUGAGGUUACAACAAGGGGAUCCCUGAGGAGUCACCCCAGAACCACAGAGAACUGCGGGGUUCUGAAGAGUUUCAAAGGAUGCUAGUUGUAUUCCAUGUACAAAUAAAGAAAAUGAGGUCGGGAGAGGGAAAGCAACUGACCUAAGAUCACACAGAGAAGUGCGAGGGAAGCUGGGUAUCCUUUUCUACUACCUGAUUCCAUGUCUCUCGGCACCUUGCCUGCAGCGGAUACAAACAUGAUCCGGUGAAGAAAUCUCCCUGAAGACUGAAGAACUCAUUUAACCUUGUGGACAUAAAUCUAAUCCUGACGCUGCCCAGCUCAGAAUCCUCCAGUGGCUUCUCAUUUCAUUUACAGUAAAAUCCAAGCUUCACAGCCAUGAGGCCCUCCAGGAUCUAACUCUGCAGCCCAACUUCUCUCCACCCUCUCCCUUGUUGACCAUCACCUUCUUCCUCACCUUUCUGUGAUUUUUUCCUUCCUGUGUUUACUUAUUUACUGUUGGUCUCUUCUCAAGAGUUGGAUAAUUCCACAAGAGAAAAAUACCGCAUCUUUUUUGGGUACCCUGUACAUCCAGCAACUAAAACACUGCCCAGAACAGAGCAGAUGCCCAACCACUGUGAAAAGAGAAUGAAGGAACAAACACAGCAGCUGGUGUAUUUUAAAUAACCAAUAAAUCCUAGAUUUCUUCAUGGCCGUGUCACCAUCAAUCGUGAGAUGAAUCAUUACUUCAAAAGUCAUUAAUAAAGGCAACAAGUUGCUAAUUAAUGGUCAUAGCUAUACAAUCUGUGUAAUUAGUUAACAGUAGCCUUUUUUUUUUUUUUUAAAGCAAACGAGAAACUCUAUUACACCAAGACUGUGGCUCCUUACUGCAUCCCCGGGGCCCAGGACAGUACCUGAGAGAAAAAGCCCACUACACAGGGCUGAAAACAUUGAUCAAAGCAAGUCACUAAGGAGCUCUAAUUCAGAAGUAGGGAUACUGUGCCCCGAGGCCAAAUCCUCUCUAGAACCUGCUUUUGUGAAUAAAGUUUUACUGGAGCACCGCCAUGCCAUUGCCUAUGGCUGCUUUCUGGCUAAAACUGGGCAGGUGAGUUGUUGCAGCACACAAUGGAUGGCCGGCAGAACCUAAAAGAUUUUGCCAUCAAUCCUUUUACUGAGCAAGUUUGCUGACACUUGCUCCUUUGUGAAGGGUAGGGUGUUUAGAAGGGAUGGGGACAAGCAAUCCUAUUCAAAUGUAAAUGGAGCAAACUAAAUGGUAACUCAGAGAUGUGUGGAGCUUAUUUCUGCCUCUGAAAGUCUCUGCCAGUGGGCAGAGAAUUUAAUACAUGCCCCUUGGCCUUCACCAUGGGCGUGGUCUGAGAAAACCUGAGAAGUUCCCACGAUGGCAUCUUACUGCAGGGUCUGAGCAAGGGCGGCUUAAGCAGGAGAGAGCUCACCUGAUAAUCAGACUCCUGAAUUCAAGGACCUAGGGUGGCCCUCCAAGGUUAACAGCCACUUUACGCAGGUUCAAAGACAUCUAACCACCUUGAGUUUAAUGGCAGCUUCAGAUGGCCAAAUGUGAUAUUUUGAUUUAAAGACUGAUGUUGAAGUGAAGCACAUGCUGACAUUGAGAUUUCCAAAGAGAAACUACCCAAAGAGCACAGAGUCCCAUCAACAAUUAGAAGGCACACGACACAGAUUAUACAGUUAUAUAGUGACAGAGACCCAGUGUUAGCAGUGAGCAGUUUCACUGCCUGCCUCUCUCCCUGACACGGUUCUGGUGGCAUAACUGACACGGGUGUGUAUAUUCUUUUAGACACUCAGUUAAUGACCUAAUUCACAGAGGAGAAACCUAGGCAGAAACCCAGAGUUGAGUGAUUUUGACAAUAAUUAGGAAGACAGUCGAGGAUGGAAAUGAAAACUGGUCCAGCAGAAUGAAUCUGAGUCUAAUACUAAUGGGUUCAAAUCACUGUUUCACUGCCAUGAGCUGGGACAAAUGAGACAGCUCUAUGAGGCUCAGUUUAUCCAUCUGUACCAUGGGUUCAGAAUUCAUAUCUCCCUGGGCUCCUGUUGAGAUUAAAUGACACUCUAUGUUUAAAACAUCCAGGUACAGCUCAGCACACAGCAAGAAGUUAACAGAUAAAAGGUUCCCCUUUCUUCCUUUCAGCCUCUUUCUGGUUCCUGGUCCACUCCCCUGAGCCCUCACCUCGAAGGGACCGGCUAUCCCGAAUCAAAUUUGUGAACAUUUUCUCCCUCACUUAAUUUGAUUUUUGAAUGACCCAACUAAGUCAAGCAACACACAUUCUAUUUCAAUAGCCAGGUGGUGAUGGGGCAGAACUCAGAGAUCCACAAUCAUUUCCUAUCACCUCAUGGCCUCCAUCAUACCCACAUCAACAAGUAACAGGGACUUCCCCGUUGGCCCAGUGGCUAAGACUCCAGACUCCCAAUGCAGGGGGCCCAGCUUCCAUCCCUGGUCAGGGAACUAGGUCCCACGUGCCGCAACUCAGAGUUCACCUGCUGCAACUAAAUAUCCUGCAUGCUGCAAUGAAGACUGAAGAUCCCAGUGCUGCAGGUAGGACCCCGUGCAGACAAAUUAAAAAUAAAUUAAUUAAAAAACAAAAAAAUACCCAAGUAACCACAGUAACUUGUCGCUAGGGGUGGGGGAGGGCAGUGAAAACCGCUGACACUGGAUGCUGACCGUGUCCCAGGCACAAAUAUGUACAGUAAGUCACUGGCUCCGCGAGACAAACCAGGAAGUGGUGUUACUAUUACCACUGUACAUGGCUGAGAACAUUUAAACACAAAGAGAUGAAGUGAUCUGUGCAGGCUGUACAACUACUCAAAAGCAGAACUGAAACUCAAACCCAGAGCAUCUGCUCUUGGCCAUGACAUGACCUUGCCUCUACUACACCAAGGUGACGUGCACAGACUAGGGUAGCAAAGUCACCCCAGGGAGCCCCAAGCACUUGACCAAGUGCUUCUGCAGGACACGGUGGAGACAUCUGAAAACUGUCCCUUUGCUCUCCACACCAGUAAAACAACCAGGAAAAGGGCAUUUCUCUGGGGUCCCACAGUCCUGUUCUCAUGAUGACAUAUUGAUAAAGAAGGCUGGCUAAAUGAGAAGGAGCCUCCCAAUUCAAAUCUAACCUAAAAGGAAUCACUUCUGAAGGCUUUUUCUGUCUCAAUGAUUGUUAACAGCGUUAUUAGUGAUAAA